GGUCAGCCCACCAUCACGCGGCAGCUCCCGUCCUACCCCGGAACGCCUGCCUUACAUGCCCCACUCACCCUUCCACCUCUUCUCCUACGACCUCGAUGAGGAGCCGUCGCCCCCGGCUGCGCCCAAACCCAGCGAGGAAUCACCCAAAACGCCGUCUCCCAGGAAUGGAGGUCUCACGUCCUACUCCUCCCCAAGUACGCCCACCAGCUCCAGGCCUGCUUUGGGAGGACUUCUGUCCUCCUCCUACCGACAGCACCAGGAAUCUCUGGCGGCCGAGCGAGGGCGCCGCCGCUUGGAGAGAGAAGAGAGAUUGCAGCGGAUAGAGAGAGAGGAGAGGAACAAGCACA
rnacentral:lncRNA from 1 species